rnacentral:rRNA from 1 species
ACGGAAGGCAGCAGUCGGGAAUAUUGCGCAAUGGAGGGAACUCUGACGCAGUGACGCCGCGUAUAGGAAGAAGGUUUUCGGAUUGUAAACUAUUGUUGUUCGUGAAGAAAAAAAUGACAGUACCUAAGGAGGAAGCAUCGGCUAACUAUGUGCCAGUAGCCGCGGUAAUACAUAGGGUGCGAGCGUUAUCCGGAUUUAUUGGGUGUAAAGGGUGCGUAGACGGGAGUUUAAGUUAGUUGUGAAAUCCCUUGGCUUAACGGAGGAACUGCAACUAAAACUAAAUUUCUUGAGUGUCGGAGAGGAAAGUGGAAUUCCUAGUGUAGCGGUGAAAUGCGUAGAUAUUAGGAAGAACGCCGGUGGCGAAGGCGACUUUCUGGACGAUAACUGACGUUGAUGCACGAAAGUGUGGGGAGCAAACAGGAUUAGAUACCCUGGUA